rnacentral:rRNA from 1 species
UGGGAAUAUUGCGCAAUGGGGGAAACCCUGACGCAGCCAUGCCGCGUGAGUGAAGAAGGUCUUCGGAUCGUAAAGCUCUUUCAACGGUGAAGAUAAUGACGGUAGCAGGUAAAGAAACCCCGGCUAACUCCGUGCCAGCAGCCGCGGUAAUACGGAGGGGGUUAGCGUUGUUCGGAAUUACUGGGCGUAAAGCGCACGUAGGCGGACCAGAAAGUUGGGGGUGAAAUCCCGGGGGCUCAACCCCGGAACUGCCUCCAAAACUAUUGGUCUAGAGUUCGAGAGAGGUGAGUGGAAUUCCAAGUGUAGAGGUGAAAUUCGUAGAUAUUUGGAGGAACACCAGUGGCGAAGGCGGCUCACUGGCUCGAUACUGACGCUGAGGUGCGAAAGUGUGGGGAGCAAACAGGAUUAGAUACCCUGGGUAGUCCACACCGUAAAACGAUGAAUGCCAGUCGUCGGGUAGCAUGCUAUUCGGUGACACACCUAACGGAUUAAGCAUUCC